UCUGGCGUGGUCUAGUGGAUAAGAUAUCUGGCUUUCACCCAGAAGGCCCGUGUUUGAUUCCCGGCGUCGGAA
rnacentral:tRNA from 1 species